rnacentral:lncRNA from 1 species
AUGACAAACACAAAGGGAAAGAAGAGAGGCACCUGAUAUACGUUCUCCAGGCCUUUUAGAAAACAUGGAGUUGUCCCUUUGGCCACGUAUAUGCGAAAUCUACAAGAAAGGUGAUAUUGUAGACAUCAAGGGAAUGGUUACUCUUCAGGUGUUACCAUGGCGAAACUGGAAGAGUCUACAACGUUAUCCAGCAGGCUGCUGGCAGUGUUGUCAACAAGUUAAGGGCAAGAUUCUUGCCAAGAGAACUAAGAACACAUUAAGUACUCUAAGAGUUGAGACAGCUUCUUGAAACAUGUGAAGGAAAAUUAUCAGAAAAAGAAGCCAAAGAGAAAGGUACCUGGGUGCAACUGAAGUGCCAGCCUGCUCCACCCAGAGAAGCACACUUUGUGAGAACCAAUGGGAAGGAGUCUGAGCUGCUGGAGCCUAUUCCCUAUAAGUUCAUGGCA